GAUGAAGAACGCAGCGAAAUGCGAUAAGUAAUGUGAAUUGCAGAAUUCAGUGAAUCAUCGAAUCUUUGAACGCACAUUGCGCCGGCCAGUAUUCUGGCGGGCAUGCCUGUUCGAGCGUCAUUUCAACCAUCAAGCCCUGCUUGCGUUGGGGUCCUGCGGCUGCCCGCAGGCCCUGAAAACCAGUGGCGGGCUCGCUAGUCACACCGAGCGCAGUAAUACAUCUCGCUUUGGGCGUGCGGCGGGUUCUUGCCGUUAAACACCCCCUUUUUACCAAGGUUGACCUCGGAUCAGGUAGGAAUACCCGCUGAACUUAAGCAUAUCAAUAAGCGGAGGA
rnacentral:misc_RNA from 1 species